rnacentral:rRNA from 1 species
UACAGAGGGUGCAAGCGUUAUUCGGAAUUACUGGGCGUAAAGGGCUCGUAGGCGGCCAACUAAGUCAGACGUGAAAUCCCUCGGCUUAACCGGGGAACUGCAUCUGAUACUGGAUGGCUUGAGUUCGGGAGAGGGAUGCGGAAUUCCAGGUGUAGCGGUGAAAUGCGUAGAUAUCUGGAGGAACACCGGUGGCGAAGGCGGCAUCCUGGACCGACACUGACGCUGAGGAGCGAAAGCCAGGGGAGCAAACGGG